rnacentral:lncRNA from 1 species
CAUAUUGAUCACAAAAUGAUCCCAUAGUUAUUUUGAAUUUAAAUUUAUCAUUACGUUACUUAUCUUUAUGUUCUUGACAUAUAGCUAAUCCUUCUUUCUUUAUAAAUGCAAAUAGUUGACCGUAAGUGAUUGUAUUCCAAGGGAUUGGUUGUCCUCCUGAAUAUUCUUUUAAUUUACUAAUUAUUCUUUCUGCAAUGAAAGAUGGUAAUCCUGAGAUAAACCGUUCUUUCCAGAAUGCUUGAUUACAAUCGUUUCUUUGGA